rnacentral:rRNA from 1 species
CCUACGGGAGGCAGCAGUGGGGAAUAUUGGGCAAUGGGCGCAAGCCUGACCCAGCAACGCCGCGUGAAGGAAGAAGGCUUUCGGGUUGUAAACUUCUUUUAAGAGGGAAGAGCAGAAGACGGUACCACUUGAAUAAGCCACGGCUAACUACGUGCCAGCAGCCGCGGUAAUACGUAGGUGGCAAGCGUUGUCCGGAUUUACUGGGUGGAAAGGGCGUGCAGCCGGGAAGACAAGUCAGAUGUGAAAUCCCGCGGCUCAACCGCGGAACUGCAUUUGAAACUGUUUUUCUUGAGUACCGGAGAGGUCAUCGGAAUUCCUUGUGUAGCGGUGAAAUGCGUAGAUAUAAGGAAGAACACCAGUGGCGAAGGCGGAUGACUGGACGGCAACUGACGGUGAGGCGCGAAAGCGUGGGGAGCAAACAGGAUUAGAUACCCCAGUAGUC